AGUGAACGCUGGCGGUAGGCCUAACACAUGCAAGUCGAACGGCAGCACAGUAAGAGCUUGCUCUUACGGGUGGCGAGUGGCGGACGGGUGAGGAAUACAUCGGAAUCUACUUUUUCGUUGGGGAUAACGUAGGGAAACUUACGCUAAUACCGCAUACGACCUACGGGUGAAAGCAGGGGAUCUUCGGACCUUGCGCGAUUGAAUGAGCCGAUGUCGGAUUAGCUAGUUGGCGGGGUAAAGGCCCACCAAGGCGACGAUCCGUAGCUGGUCUGAGAGGAUGAUCAGCCACACUGGAACUGAGACACGGUCCAGACUCCUACGGGAGGCAGCAGUGGGGAAUAUUGGACAAUGGGCGCAAGCCUGAUCCAGACAUACCGCGUGGGUGAAGAAGGCAUUCGGGUUGUAAAGACCUUUUGUUGGGAAAGAAAAGCAGCAGGUUAAUACCCCGCUGUUCUGAAGGUACCCAAAGAAUAAGCACCGGCUAACUUCGUG
rnacentral:rRNA from 1 species